rnacentral:rRNA from 1 species
UGGGGAAUAUUGCACAAUGGGCGAAAGCCUGAUGCAGCGACGCCGCGUGAGGGAUGACGGCCUUCGGGUUGUAAACCUCUUUCAGCAGGGACGAAGCGCAAGUGACGGUACCUGCAGAAGAAGCACCGGCUAACUACGUGCCAGCAGCCGCGGUAAUACGUAGGGUGCAAGCGUUGUCCGGAAUUACUGGGCGUAAAGAGUUCGUAGGCGGUUUGUCGCGUCGUUUGUGAAAACCAGCAGCUCAACUGCUGGCUUGCAGGCGAUACGGGCAGACUUGAGUACUGCAUGGGAGACUGGAAUUCCUGGUGUAGCGGUGAAAUGCGCAGAUAUCAGGAGGAACACCGGUGGCGAAGGCGGGUCUCUGGGCAGUAACUGACGCUGAGGAACGAAAGCGUGGGUAGCGAACAGG